rnacentral:siRNA from 1 species
UGGACAAGAAAGAUGCAGAGA